rnacentral:rRNA from 1 species
CGGACGGGUGAGUAAUGUCUGGGAACUGCCCGAUGGAGGGGAUAACUACUGGAAACGGUAGCUAAUACCGCAUAACGUCGCAAGACCAAAGAGGGGGACCUUCGGGCCUCUUGCCAUCGGAUGUGCCCAGAUGGGAUUAGCUAGUAGGUGGGGUAACGGCUCACCUAGGCGACGAUCCCUAGCUGGUCUGAGAGGAUGACCAGCCACACUGGAACUGAGACACGGUCCAG